rnacentral:lncRNA from 1 species
AUGAUCGAAACUUAUUUCUAGUGGAUUUGCUGAUAUUUACUCUUUUUCUUGUUUAUUGAAAGAUACCAUAGGUUUUUCGGUUUACGGCCGUUUAUAGGUGGCUAUUUUUAGCUUCGAAACAUGUCAGAAAACCCGAGGCACAAGUUUCGACCGAAGGCUUGAAAUUUCAACCGUAUGUGCAGAUUUCGUCAAGCUAGAAGUUUGGCCGACUCUCAUUAUGUUUAAGAAAGUUUAUAGUUCCUGCCCAAGAAAUUGAAUUAUAUAUUCUUCAACAUCUGAACUGCGUUGUUCGACGACAUUUGACUCACAUCGUUGGUCAUUUGAUUAAAGUACAAAUCAACGCCAUAA